rnacentral:rRNA from 1 species
UACGUAGGUGGCAAGCGUUGUCCGGAUUUACUGGGCGUAAAGAGCGCGCAGGCGGUCGAGUAAGUCGAAUGUGAAAGCCCCGGCUUACUGGGGAGGGUCAUUCGAUACUGUUCGACUUGAAGGCAGGAGAGGGCAGCAGAAUUCCCGGUGUAGUGGUGAAAUGCGUAGAUAUCGGGAGGAAUACCAGUGGCGAAGGCGGCUGCCUGGCCUGUUCUUGACGCUGAGGCGCGAAAGCUGGGGGAGCAAACGGG